rfam:Danio rerio chromosome 4, GRCz11 reference primary assembly.
GUCAGGAUGGCUGAGUGGUCUAAGGCGCUGCGUUCAGGUAGCAGUCUCCCCUCGAGGCGUGGUUUCAAAUCCCACUUCUGACA